UGUAUAUAAUUUUAUUCAUUUUCAACUUCACUUAAAAAGAAGUGAUAAUAAUGAUUGAUGAAUUUAUUCAUAAUCCAGUUACAAGAUUCGCUUGUUAAAUAAUUCAUAGGAUAUAUAUUUGUGAUUUAGGUGGAGACGUCAGCUUGCUUAUAUGACUCUUGAAGUGGCGAUCCCAACACUGAUCAAAGAUGAAUUAAACGCCAAAGUCAUACGACCGCAGUACCGCGACAUUAUUGUGACCCUGGCGAGAUUUGAAUACCAAAGAAGAGCAAAUGUUAUCACUGGGAAAGCCAGAAGAAUCACACGAUUGUUCACAUCCGAAGAGAAAAGUGAUCGUAAUCGGGUUGCAGCUACUUUUGGGUGAAAUUCCAUCGUGAAAAAGACCAACAUGGCUUUCCUAACUUGAACGUUGAAUUCGAGUAAUGGUGGCAUUGAAAUGUACACGUGUAAGCAAUAUGUACGCUUGGGAUUAAUUAAGCAUAUCAAUUCGUGCAAUUGACAAAACAGCUUGCAAAAUGGGUUGCAAUCAACUAUAUAAAUCGGAGCCGGCGGAUCAACACCAGCCAAUUGGCCGAUUAAGAUAAAAAAAUGCACUAGUAAGCUGAAGAGUAGCUAACUUAAAAAUUACUAUUCCAUUACUCUACAAUUCCUGAUCCAUUCCUUCGAUUCAUUUUCCAUUCUGUUCCAUUACUUAUUGAUUCGUAUAUAUAUGAAACAUGCUGUAUUCGAACAUUGUCAAUUUAAACAUUGACAUUUGUACAUACGGUUUUUAUGUCAAAGUGAAAAUGCAAAACAAACAUAAACAAUUGACAUCAAAACUUGUUUGAAUAGUAAAAUCGUUGUUUAAUUUGAAAUGAUGAAAAUUAAAAAGAAAUUAGACGGAAAAAGUGGAAAAAAAAUCAUACAAUACAAUUGGAGUAGGUGUCAGUUCCAUCUGCAUAUCGAAUGUAAAUCAACAAAAUAUCUAAUAAGAAGAAGUAUAAACAAGAUAUGUACAGCUUGUCGCUACGAAGAACCACAAAACUGCGUUUGAAUUGCAAAAGAAUUGAAGUUUUGAUAAACAAAAUGGCAUCAUGCAUAAUGUGCUAACAAUACGUUCGAUUGUUUUCCAAUUCCAACAAAAUAACGUACCGUUACCGGCUUUGUACAUGUGCCAACAUGAAACUAGACAUACAGAGCUAGUAGUCAUAGCAAAGUGAGAUACGCAUCAGACCCAGACAUUGAACAACAAUUGAAGUGAUCGGACGCAUACAUUAUUUUGUAUUCUUGAUCCGUCGACACAGUUAGUUUUAAAAUAUUUAUUUAAAAGUUUUGUUUAAAGUUUGCUGAAUUUUUAGUUGACAGAAGAUGAAACGACGUCGCAAACCCACUUCUGUUCAACGGAAAAAGCCAUUGAAACGGCAAAAUCAAAGCAAAACGAGGUGAAUCAAAGAAUAAAAACGAAGAAAUAUUCACCGUGGUGAUGAACACUGAAUCAAUUUUCCCAGACAAACAACGUCUGAGUGAAUUGAUUGAAAGAGUUGUGGCCAAUUCCUCAAAAAUGUUCAAAUUGGCAUCGCUUUAUGUGCUCUUCAUAUUGAAUCGGUUGGUUGACAGUGGUUCCGAUGUCGAAAUCCGUCGUGAAUUUUUGGCCAAAUUCAAUGCAAUGAGGAGAUAUUUCAAGAAUUUGAGUGCAACAAAACACCAAAUAAAUAAAACCAUGGACUAUCUAUGUGACCGAAAUUCAACGUGCCGACCAAACGCCAAUUUACUGAAUCGCUAUUUGGAAGAAUUGAAACCAUUGGUGCCACCACAAGCGGUACAACCACCACCACAGCGACGGCGACGACAAACGCCACCACGGCGUGGGCCUCAAAGUGGACGAGGACGGCAACAACAACCGUUGCCAGUGCCACGCGGUUGGUUGUUCGAGACGCACAGCAAAUAUGACUGGUACAAGUACGUUUACGAAUUGCACAAUGCAAACAAUCCGCAUUGAAAGUGGUCAUCGUUUGUGGCGGUGCCACAAUCAAGCAAUGCCAAUCAUCAUGCAAGAUUCGACACAGAAGGAUUCAUAUUGCUAACGAAUCUCUUGUAUGAAAGAGGUACUGGUGAAAAAAUCCCAUCUUGCAGAGGUCGGUGGUCGCAUGCCCAAUACAAUGCAUUUUGGCGUCGAUUUGGAAAUUUGGACAAAAUCAAUAAGCCGAGUCAACAGUUUGACUUUUCAUUCACCACCGAUGGAUGUUCAGCCCAUUUGAAAAUGAUUCAGCGAUCUAGGAAUGUUAACAACACCAACACCAACACCGACACCAACAAUAAUGAUGAUGAUGUUGAUGAUGACAAUAAUGCAGUUCCGAACCCAGAACAACCGGAUCCAGUGCCGCCAAUCAUUCAAUGUGCUUACAAUUCAGGACAAAUUGAGAGAAUUAUCGGUUGUGAUCCGGGCUACAGGGAAUUUGUGGGGGUUUUACGCAAAGAUUUAGCGACCGAUAAUGAAGAAAAUUUUCAGAAAUCAUCGAAAGAGUGGCACCAUAUGACCGGUUUUUUCGACCGUCAAUACAAACUGAAGCGAUUUAGCGUUUGAGAAAAAAUGUCGUAAACUGCGUGAAAAUCGUGAAAUCUAUCAGGAAACGCCAUCGAAGAAAAGUGCCGACUAUCGUACCUAUCUGGAUUACCAGCUGCAAAUAUUCAAUGAAUCAUUCGAGAUAAAGUACCAAAAACGUGUGGUUCGUUUAAAUUUUGUUGCAUAUAGACGUACGCAGGUAGAAUUGCAUGUGUUGGUGAAGCAAAUGACAAAAGUCGAUCGUGAAAUGUCGGACGCUGAGAAAACAGUGGUAUUGGCAUUUGGUGGUGCAAAAUUUGCAUCAAAUUCACCCAUCUACAUUUUGAGAUGAACACAUUUGAGUACGGAAAUAAAUUCAGCCGACAUAUUUCCAUCAAUGUAUGAAGUCUAUAUAUGUGACAGAUCAACACUCACUGAAAAAGACCAACUACGUAGCAAGGAAAGAGGAGGCGGAGUAUUGAUUGCAGUCAGUAACAAAUUCAAGUCAAUUUGCAUCGAAGCGGGAGACCAAUUCGGAGCGGAACAAAUUUGGGUCAAAGUAGCUGGUAUUAUUAUUUGGGUCAGAGUAGCUGAGUUGAGACUGGAUAAUUUUUAUACAAUUAUUAAGUCAUCAGGAAACAACCGAUGUGGUUUAUCAAGUCAAUGAGUUGAAGAACAAAGUCAGCAAAGCGCAUCGAAAUAGAAAAUUGCUCAACAAAGUCGAAUCGAUUGAACAUUACAAACAAAUAAGAAAGGAAUAUAAACGAAGUUCACGCUCAGCUCUCAAAGACUAGAGAAUAGAGAUGGAGAAACAGAUAGAUGAUAAUCCAAAGAAAUUGUUCAAGCAUGUGAAUUUCAAAAAAAGGGAUAAGUGAAGAUCUGCCUCAUGAAAUAACUUAUAUGGAUGAAAAAGCCAACGACCAAUCAUCAAUUGCUGGUUUUUUUUGCAAAACACUUUGGCACCGCUUACAGCAAUUUAGAGGGUGAUCUGCGAUAUGACAGCUCUGAGAGAGAAUAGAGAAAAUACGUGAUAUUUGUGCUGAAAUAUCAAUGAUCGAAAUAACAGAGGAUCUAGUUGGUCAACAUAUAAGCAAGCUGCCAGAUAAUCUAGUCUGUGGUCCGGAUGAAGUUUCAAAUAAAUUCAUCAAGCAUUGUUUAAUUUCAUUGCAGGGGCCAAUCUCAACACUGUUAAAGGAAUCACUUGAAACUGCCACUGUACCGCAAAUAUGGAGAGCGUUCAUUUAUCAAAUAGUUUAAACUAUUACGAUUCAGCGCAUAAUAUACGGGCUACACCAUUUUUUGAUAUACCAAUAAGAAGGGUAGGGUCCUUUAAUUUCUGGUGAAAUAAUUUCUACACUUAGAGAAAUAGUUUCUGAAUUUACUGAAAUAAUAAGAAGAAGUGAUUACACAAAAUAUGAACCAAUUAUAUGAUUAUAACUUUCAAUGAUUAUUAUACGAAAAA